rnacentral:other from 1 species
ACUUCCUGAGCCGGAACGAAGAGCUUUUUUCGGAAUGCGUGUUCUGAAGGGCUUUUGGCUUACGGUUGUGAUGUUGUGUUGUUGUGUUUGCAAUUGGUCUGCGAUUCAGACCACGGUAGCAACGCUACCAAUUUUUUCACUUCCUGUACAUUUACCCUGUCUGUCCAUAGUGAUUAAUGUAGCACCGCCAAUUUGCGGUGCUUUUUUUU